UGGGGAGGGACGCGGGCGGGGACGGAGCUCGGCGUGCUUGCUGCUGGAGGGUGAUGGCCCUGCAAGGCUGUGGGCUCCGACCUCACCGGGAGUCGACAGCGAGAGGUUCGCCGAAGAGCGAGGUUCUGGGCGAGCGCUGAACGCCGGCCCCAAGCACCCCGGGUCUUUACACAGUCCGCGUCCACAGACUCUGACGAAGACGUGGAUCUGCUCUCGCUUUAGCUGCUCGCGGUCCUCCAGAUCAUGUCCGCGACUCCUGCGACUCCGCGCGGAAAAAAAAGUUUGCCAGGCGUGGACUCAAUGACCUUUCCAAGCUGUGCGCCUCGCUGCCUGGACCGGGUCUGAGCGCGGCUGCCCAGGUUGACCUUUCUGCGGGAGCAGGGGGCCAUUGCCCACGUCCUCCCAGCCCUGCACAAGGACCGGCCCCGUUUUGACUUUG
rnacentral:lncRNA from 1 species